ACGGGUGCGUAACACGUGGGUAACAUGCCGGGAAGCGAGGGAUAGCCCAGGGAAACUUGGAUUAAUACCUCAUGUGGUCGAGAGACUAAAGGCGCAAGCCGCUUCCUGAUUGGCCCGCGGCCUAUCAGCUAGUUGGUGAGGUAAAGGCUCACCAAGGCGACGACGGGUAGCUGGUCUUAGAGGACGACCAGCCACACUGGAACUGAGACACGGUCCAGACACCUACGGGUGGCAGCAGUCGAGAAUCUUUCACAAUGGGGGCAACCCUGAUGGAGCGACGCCGCGUGGAGGAUUAAGGUCUUCGGAUUGUAAACUCCUGUCAUGCGAGAGCAAAGCCUGCAAAGGUCUGAUAGUAUCGCAAGAGGAAGAGACGGCUAACUCUGUGCCAGCAGCCGCGGUAAUACAGAGGUCUCAAGCGUUGUUCGGAAUCACUGGGCGUAAAGGGUGCGUAGGUGGCGCGGAAAGUCAGAUGUGAAAUCCGGGGGCUCAACCCCCGAAUUGCAUCCGAUACUACCGCGCUAGAGAACUGAAGGGGGAUCUGGAAUUCUCGGU
rnacentral:rRNA from 1 species